GGCUGGUCCAUAGAUAGGGAGUUAUCUCAGUGGAUCAUUCACAGUCAGUUACAGAUCAAACUUGUUAUUCUACUCUUUCUUUCUCCCUACUGCACUUGACUAGUGUUAA
rnacentral:Y_RNA from 1 species